CGGCAACAGCUCAAAUUUGAAAUCUGGCUUCGGCCCGAGUUGUAAUUUGUAGAGGAAGCUUUUGGCGCGGUGCCUUCUGAGUUCCCUGGAACGGGACGCCAUAGAGGGUGAGAGCCCCGUAUAGUUGAACACCAAGCCUCUGUAAAGCUCCUUCGAC
rnacentral:rRNA from 1 species